UCUCCGCCAUUGAAGGCUUUUCACUCAGUGAGCGGGAGACCUUUGUUUUAAACAGAUUGAAAUGGAAAUAUUAGUGCCCGGGUAAGCGAGUAAACAGCGUUCUGAUAAAAGCAGUGCACCGGUUUGUCAGUGUAGACACAGAAAUCAAUAUUGACUCGGGGUAAGUUCGGGGAGAACCGGGGUCUGUUUGUAAGAGGCGGAGCGGAGCGGGAACGUGUUCCGAAACUUGGAGUGAGCGGGUGGAAGGGGAGAGGCCUUUCUGGGGUUGUGUGUGGCCUUGCUGAGGGAGACAGAACCUGAGCAAGCUGCAACUGAAAACUAUUGGGAUAUUCUCCCCUCAAACCUGUAACGCAUAUUCCAAGUUUAGCUGCUGAUUCGUGCAACUUGUCGGCAUUUCGACAGGCAACAGUGGAAACAGACGGACAGUGAGGAUGGGGAACAAUCUUGUGAAGAUCACCCAUCGCAGGCACCAGCUAUUCAAGUGAUAAGUGUUAAAGAAACCUUGUAGCAGCGGCUGUUGGUUUCAGUUGACGGCUCUUACAAUGGGAGCUGGAGAUUAAAACCUCACCUGAUCAAUGUCUCUGUCCCCGCGGCUCGUGACAUCCUUGGAGCAGGACAGGUCAGGAUUGUUUCUGAAUGUAAAACAAAAACAGAAUUACCUGGAAAAACUUGGACUCGAACUCAGGUUCUGUCGAAGGGUCAUGAGGACUCGAAACGUCAACUCUUCUCUUCUCCGCCGAUGCUGCCAGACCUGCUGAGUUUUUCCAGGCAAAUAGAUGAAGGGAUCAGUUUGAAGCUGAUGAUUGCCCCAGCCAAAUUGAAAGUAAAGGCGUCUCCUUCUAACUGACGGCAGGUAUGAUAUUACUCACAGAGUGCAGAGAUACAGAUAGAGCAUCAUUUCCACCAUCACCACGAAGAGUAAUAUUCAGAGUCAAAAACCAGAUACAUGUGCUCAAUUCAAUCGUCAGAGGGGGGCGGGGUUGAAGAAAUGGUUGGAAUAAUCACAAUACACUCCUACUCAGUACCUCUGAAUGGCAGGUCCACCUAUUUCAGUCCAAACUCACAGCCAUUAUCAGAUUGAAGUGUACUCCAUGCAUAUCACAAGAAUGGAACAUUGGCUGCAAUUUAAAUAUCAGAUUUCGCAGGCUCGGCCAGCAUUUAGUUGCAUAUGAGAAGGUGGUGGUGAGCUGAUUUCUUGAACCACUGCAGUCCCUGUGGUGUACGUACACCCACAGUUCUGUGGGCAUGGAUUGCCAGGAUUCUGCUCCAGCAAAAGUAGCAUAUUUCCAAGUCAGAAUGGUGAGUGCCCUGGAGGGGAACUUCCAGGUGGUGGUGUUUUCAUCUAUCUGCUGCUCUUGUCCUUCAGGUUCGACAUGGCUAAUUUUGCUAUUGUCAGUGACCUCUUUGUAGCCUUUGUUAGAAUUGAGUGGCUAGCUAGGCCAUUUCAGAGGGCGUUUAAGUGUGAGUCUAGAAUCACAUGUACAAUGAUGACAGAUUUCCUUCUCUAAAGGAUAUUAAUAAACCAGAAGGGUUUUUUUUACCACAA